UACGAAGGGGGCUAGCGUUGCUCGGAAUCACUGGGCGUAAAGCGCACGUAGGCGGAUUGCUAAGUCAGGGGUGAAAUCCUGGAGCUCAACUCCAGAACUGCCUUUGAUACUGGCGAUCUUGAGACCGGAAGAGGUAAGUGGAACUGCGAGUGUAGAGGUGAAAUUCGUAGAUAUUCGCAAGAACACCAGUGGCGGAAGGCGGCUUACUGGUCCGGUUCUGACGCUGAGGCGCGAAAGCGUGGGGAGCAAACAGG
rnacentral:rRNA from 1 species